AUUGAACGCUGGCGGCAGGCUUAACACAUGCAAGUCGAGCGAGCGGCGGACGGGUGAGUAAUGUCUGGGAAACUGCCUGAUGGAGGGGGUUAACUACUGGAAACGGUAGCUAAUACCGCAUACCAUCAGAUGUGCCCAGAUGGGAUGAGCUAGUAGGUGGGGUAAUGGCUGACCUAGGCGACGAUCCCUAGCUGGUCUGAGAGGAUGACCAGACACACGGGAACGUAGACACGGUCCAGACUCCAACGGGAGGCAGCAGUGGGGAGUAUUGCACAAUGGUGGCAAGCCUGAUGCAGCCAUGCCGCGGGUGUGAAGAAGGCCUUCGGGUUGUAAAGCACUUUCAGCGAGGAGGCGUUACUCGCAGAAGAAGCACCGGCUAACUCCGUGCCAGCAGCCGCGGUAAUUC
rnacentral:rRNA from 1 species